AGAGUUUGAUCCUGGCUCAGGAUGAACGCUGGCGGCGUGCCUAAUACAUGCAAGUCGAGCGAACGGACGAGAAGCUUGCUUCUCUGAUGUUAGCGGCGGACGGGUGAGUAACACGUGGAUAACCUACCUAUAAGACUGGGAUAACUUCGGGAAACCGGAGCUAAUACCGGAUAAUAUUUUGAACCGCAUGAUUCAAAAGUGAAAGACGGUCUUGCUGUCACUUAUAGAUGGAUCCGCGCUGCAUUAGCUAGUUGGUAAGGUAACGGCUUACCAAGGCAACGAUGCAUAGCCGACCUGAGAGGGUGAUCGGCCACACUGGAACUGAGACACGGUCCAGACUCCUACGGGAGGCAGCAGUAGGGAAUCUUCCGCAAUGGGCGAAAGCCUGACGGAGCAACGCCGCGUGAGUGAUGAAGGUCUUCGGAUCGUAAAACUCUGUUAUUAGGGAAGAACAUAUGUGUAAGUAACUGUGCACAUCUUGACGGUACCUAAUCAGAAAGCCACGGCUAACUACGUGCCAGCAGCCGCGGUAAUACGUAGGUGGCAAGCGUUAUCCGGAAUUAUUGGGCGUAAAGCGCGCGUAGGCGGUUUUUUAAGUCUGAUGUGAAAGCCCACGGCUCAACCGUGGAGGGUCAUUGGAAACUGGAAAACUUGAGUGCAGAAGAGGAAAGUGGAAUUCCAUGUGUAGCGGUGAAAUGCGCAGAGAUAUGGAGGAACACCAGUGGCGAAGGCGACUUUCUGGUCUGUAACUGACGCUGAUGUGCGAAAGCGUGGGGAUCAAACAGGAUUAGAUACCCUGGUAGUCCACGCCGUAAACGAUGAGUGCUAAGUGUUAGGGGGUUUCCGCCCCUUAGUGCUGCAGCUAACGCAUUAAGCACUCCGCCUGGGGAGUACGACCGCAAGGUUGAAACUCAAAGGAAUUGACGGGGACCCGCACAAGCGGUGGAGCAUGUGGUUUAAUUCGAAGCAACGCGAAGAACCUUACCAAAUCUUGACAUCCUUUGACAACUCUAGAGAUAGAGCCUUCCCCUUCGGGGGACAAAGUGACAGGUGGUGCAUGGUUGUCGUCAGCUCGUGUCGUGAGAUGUUGGGUUAAGUCCCGCAACGAGCGCAACCCUUAAGCUUAGUUGCCAUCAUUAAGUUGGGCACUCUAAGUUGACUGCCGGUGACAAACCGGAGGAAGGUGGGGAUGACGUCAAAUCAUCAUGCCCCUUAUGAUUUGGGCUACACACGUGCUACAAU
rnacentral:rRNA from 1 species